rnacentral:rRNA from 1 species
AGUGAACGUUGGCGGCGUGGAUUAGGCAUGCAAGUCGAGCGAGAACCGUAGCAAUACGGGGACAGCGGCGAAAGGGACAGUAAUGUGUAGGUACCUACCCCGAGGUCUGGGAUAGCUGCGGGAAACUGCAGGUAAUACCGGAUAAUGUCUUCGGACCAAAGGCGUCAUUCCACCUUGGGAGGGGCCUGCAUCCUAUUAGCUUGUUGGCGGGGUAACGGCCCACCAAGGCGACGAUGGGUAGCGGGUGUGAGAGCACGACCCGCGUCAUUGGGACUGAGACACUGCCCAGACACCUACGGGUGGCUGCAGUCGAGGAUCUUCGGCAAUGGGCGCAAGCCUGACCGAGCGACGCCGCAUGCGGGAUGAAGGCCUUCGGGUUGUAAACCGCUGUCGUAGAGGAGGAAAUGCAGGGGGGUUCUCCCUUCUGUUUGACCUAUUCUAGGAGGAAGGACGGGCUAAGUUCGUGCCAGCCGCCGCCGUAA